GUCUUCGUAGUGCAAUGGUUAGCACACUCGGCACGAAUUCGAGAGUUCCAAGUUUGAGUCCUGGCGAGGGCA
rnacentral:tRNA from 1 species